rnacentral:rRNA from 1 species
UACGUAGGGUGCGAGCGUUGUCCGGAAUUAUUGGGCGUAAAGAGCUUGUAGGCGGUUUGUCGCGUCUGCUGUGAAAAUCCGGGGCUCAACCCCGGACUUGCAGUGGGUACGGGCAGACUAGAGUGUGGUAGGGGAGACUGGAAUUCCUGGUGUAGCGGUGAAAUGCGCAGAUAUCAGGAGGAACACCGAUUGCGAAGGCAGCUCGCUGGAACGUUACUGACGCUGAGACGCGAAAGCGUGGGGAGCAAACAGG